rnacentral:lncRNA from 1 species
AGCUUCAAUAAACCAGCCUCCCUUUUCGCCACUCGGCACGCUCAAAAAAGAAAGCACGGACGCCAUUCGGGGAACCAAAAACACGAUGGCCGGCAACUACCGCCGCACCAUCUCGUUCCCGACCCCGAAGACCUCCGCCAAUGGCAAGCUGGCGACCGCCUACCGCGUCCGCUCGGCCAGCCUCCUUCCGCUUCCACCCGCUCGUCCUGCAGCUCGACGACGACGUCGCCGCGUUGCGCCUCG